AGAGCCGAGCGGCAAGAGCGCGGGCCGGGGAAGGGAAGAGUAGGAGAGGAAGCCGCGAGGGAGAACAGGCGAGCUACUGUCUCCUUUGGAAAAGAACGUAGGAGCCUUGGGUGGGAAAAGAGAGAUCAGCCCUCCCAACUUCUCUUCGGGAAAAGUUUUCCUAGGGCGUUUUGUUUGUGCAAACUCGGCCGGAGGAGCCUGGGAGUGCGCUGCCGGCGUGGCAGCGGUGCCCGUGCGCCCGGCCCCGCUCCUCCUCCUUUUCCAGCCCCGGCGGCUCCUCUCCCUCCGAGAGGCGCCAAAUGGCUACCCAGUAAACCCCACGGGGCGGGGGCUGCAGCGCCACCGCCUCCUCCGCCGUGCUCUGGGCGCCCGCUAGACCUUGUAGAGACGGCGGCGGCGCCCGCGGGCUGGGAGCCGGGGCCCGCAGGUGGAAGCGCACCCGGGAGGCGGGCCGGCCGGGGCUGGAGCGGCUCGGGCGGGCUCUUGACGCUCAGCCAGCUUCGCUCCGGCCUCGGGAAGGCGCGCGUCCCGCCCUGACCCGCCGGCCUCUCCCACCCCAGCAGUGACGCGCCGCCUGGGAGCUGGAGCCCGCGCAGCGCCCCGCAGGGCGAUGGACGGCCGAACCCCGCGCCCGCAGGACGCCCCAGCCAGGAGAAAACCAAAAGCCAAGGCACCACUUCCUCCAGCUGAGACCAAAUAUACUGAUGUCUCUUCAGCUGCUGAUUCUGUAGAAUCCACUGCUUUCAUCAUGGAACAGAAAGAAAACAUGAUAGAUAAAGACGUUGAACUCUCAGUGGUCCUACCUGGGGAUAUUAUCAAAUCUACUACUGUUCAUGGCAGUAAACCUAUGAUGGACUUGUUGAUAUUCCUUUGUGCACAGUAUCACUUAAAUCCAUCAAGUUACACAAUCGAUCUGUUGUCAGCUGAACAGAACCACAUUAAAUUUAAGCCAAACACACCAAUAGGAAUGUUGGAGGUAGAGAAGGUAAUUUUAAAGCCAAAAAUGUUGGAUAAGAAAAAACCUACACCUAUAAUACCAGAGAAAACUGUGAGAGUAGUGAUUAAUUUUAAGAAAACACAGAAGACCAUAGUGAGAGUGAGUCCACAUGCAUCGCUUCAAGAGCUUGCCCCUAUUAUAUGUAGCAAAUGUGAGUUUGAUCCGUUGCAUACACUAUUGUUGAAAGAUUAUCAAUCGCAGGAGCCUCUUGACUUGACAAAAUCUCUUAAUGACCUGGGACUAAGAGAAUUAUAUGCGAUGGAUGUCAACAGAGAGUCCUGCCAAAUAUCACAAAACCUAGAUAUUAUGAAGG
rnacentral:lncRNA from 1 species